AUUGAACGCUGGCGGCAGGCUUAACACAUGCAAGUCGAGCGGAGAGAGGUAGCUUGCUACUGAUCUUAGCGGCGGACGGGUGAGUAAUGCUUAGGAAUCUGCCUAUUAGUGGGGGACAACAUUUCGAAAGGAAUGCUAAUACCGCAUACGUCCUACGGGAGAAAGCAGGGGAUCUUCGGACCUUGCGCUAAUAGCUGAGCCUAAGUCGGAUUAGCUAGUUGGUGGGGUAAAGGCCUACCAAGGCGACGAUCUGUAGCGGGUCUGAGAGGAUGGUCCGCCACACUGGGACUGAGACACGGCCCAGACUCCUACGGGAGGCAGCAGUGGGGAAUAUUGGACAAUGGGCGGAAGCCUGAUCCAGCCAUGCCGCGUGUGUGAAGAAGGCCUUAUGGUUGUAAAGCACUUUAAGCGAGGAGGAGGCUACUUUAGUUAAUACCUAGAGAUAGUGGACGUUACUCGCAGAAUAAGCACCGGAUAACUCUGUGCCAGCCGCCGCGGUAAAAC
rnacentral:rRNA from 1 species